rnacentral:rRNA from 1 species
GACGAACGCUGGCGGCGUGCCUAAUACAUGCAAGUCGAGCGAUGAAGAUUGGUGCUUGCACCUAUUUGAAGAGCAGCGAACGGGUGAGUAACGCGUGGGGAAUCUGCCUUUGAGCGGGGGACAACAUUUGGAAACGAAUGCUAAUACCGCAUAACAACUUUAAACAUAAGUUUUAAGUUUGAAAGAUGCAAUUGCAUCACUCAAAGAAGAUCCCGCGUUGUAUUAGCUAGUUGGUGAGGUAAAGGCUCACCAAGGCGAUGAUACAUAGCCGACCUGAGAAGGUGAGUGGCCACAUUGGGACUGAGACACAGCCCAAACUCCUAAGGGAGGCCGUAGUAAGGAAUCUUUGGCAAUGGACGAAAGUCUGACCGAGCAACGCCGCGGGAGUGAAGAAGGUUUUCGGAUCGGAAAACUCUGUUGGUAGAGAAGAACGAUAGUGGGAGUGGAAAGCUCAUCAAGUGACGGUAACUACCCAGAAAGGGACGGCUAACUACGUG